rnacentral:rRNA from 1 species
UACGUAGGGUGCGAGCGUUGUCCGGAAUUAUUGGGCGUAAAGGGCUCGUAGGCGGUUUGUCGCGUCGGGAGUGAAAACUCAGGGCUUAACCCUGAGCCUGCUUCCGAUACGGGCAGACUAGAGGUAUGCAGGGGAGAACGGAAUUCCUGGUGUAGCGGUGAAAUGCGCAGAUAUCAGGAGGAACACCGGUGGCGAAGGCGGUUCUCUGGGCAUUACCUGACGCUGAGGAGCGAAAGUGUGGGGAGCGAACAGGAUUAGAAACCCUGGUAGUCC